GGGAUAUUAAACUACUCUAACUUUUUUGAGUUGAGCUGGAAUGGCUAGAUAGAAUAAGACUGAAAAAGAAAGCUUGGAAGUUUGUCCUGUGAAGCCAUUAGAACCUCCUGGCAGAUGACAAAAUAUAUUUGGAUACGGAUGUCUCCAGGACGUUAGUGCCAAGGCUCCAGAGAACGCGCGACUGCAUCAGCUUGAAUGCCUGCUUCUGACUCCUCUGGACACCGUCAGAGAUCUUAGAACUCAUCUCUUUAACAUGGGAUCCAUGCCCAGGACCAGAUCCCUGACUUCUCUAUAAACUACCAGUGCUGUGACACUGCAGCAACCCUCAGCUAACAGAAGCAUGAAAGGGCUCAAGCAGAACCAAACCCAGAUUUGGGACAUGGAUGAACCUGGAAACCAUCAUUCUCAGCAAACUGACACAAGAACAGAAAAUCAAACACCACCUUCUCACUCAUAGGUGAGUGUUGAACAAUGAGAACACUUGGACACAAAAAGGGGAGCAUCACACACCGGGGUCCAUUGAGAGGGGCUACAGGAGGGAGGCUGGGG
rnacentral:lncRNA from 13 species